GUUGGCAAAGAAUAAAAACUCCAAAGGGGAUUGGACGGGGACCCCGCACCAAGCGGUGGAUGAUGUGGAUUAAUUUGAUGCAACGCGAAANACCUUACUUACCCUUGACAUGUCAGGAAUCCUGAAGAGAUUUGGGAGUGCUCGAAAGAGAGCCUGAACACAGGUGCUGCAUGGCUGUCGUCAGCUCGUGUCGUGAGAUGUUGGGUUAAGUCCCGCAACGAGCGCAACCCUUGCCAAUAGUUGCUACGAAAGGGCACUCUAUUGGGACUGCCGGUGACAAACCGGAGGAAGGUGGGGAUGACGUCAAGUCCUCAUGGCCCUUAUGGGUAGGGCUUCACACGUCAUACAAUGGUGCAUACAGAGGGCUGCCAAGCCGUGAGACGGAGCAAAUCCCAGAAAGUGCAUCGUAGUCCGGAUUGGAGUCUGCAACUCGACUCCAUGAAGUUGGAAUCGCUAGUAAUCGCGGAUCAGCAUGUCGCGGUGAAUACGUUCCCGGGUCUUGUACACACCGCCCGUCACACCAUGGGAGCGGGUUUUACCAGAAGUAGGUAGCUUAACCGUAAGGGGGGCGCUUACCACGGUAGGAUUCGUGACUGGGGUGAAGUCGUAACAAGGUAACC
rnacentral:rRNA from 1 species